rnacentral:rRNA from 1 species
UUAAGCGACUAAGCGUACACGGUGGAUGCCCUGGCAGUCAGAGGCGAUGAAGGACGUGCUAAUCUGCGAAAAGCGUCGGUAAGGUGAUAUGAACCGUUAUAACCGGCGAUGUCCGAAUGGGGAAACCCAGUGCAAUUCGUUGCACUAUCGUUAACUGAAUACAUAGGUUAACGAGGCGAACCGGGGGAACUGAAACAUCUAAGUACCCCGAGGAAAAGAAAUCAACCGAGAUUCCCCCAGUAGCGGCGAGCGAACGGGGAGCAGCCCAGAGUCUGAAUCAGCUUGUGUGUUAGUGGAACGGUCUGGAAAGUCCGACGGUACAGGGUGAUAGUCCCGUACACCAAAAUGCACAGGCUGUGAACUCGAAGAGUAGGGCGGGACACGUGGUAUCCUGUCUGAAUAUGGGGGGACCAUCCUCCAAGGCUAAAUACUCCUGACUGACCGAUAGUGAACCAGUACCGUGAGGGAAAGGCGAAAAGAACCCCGGCGAGGGGAGUGAAAAAGAACCUGAAACCGUGUACGUACAAGCAGUGGGAGCACCUUCGGGUGUGACUGCGUACCUUUUGUAUAAUGGGUCAGCGACUUAUAUUCUGUAGCAAGGUUAACCGUAUAGGGGAGCCGCAGGGAAACCGAGUCUUAACUGGGCGUUAAGUUGCAGGGUAUAGACCCGAAACCCGGUGAUUCAGCCAUGGGCAGGUUGAAGGUUGGGUAACACUAACUGGAGGACCGAACCGACUAAUGUUGAAAAAUUAGCGGAUGACUUGUGGCUGGGGUGAAAGGCCAAUCAAACCGGGAGAUAGCUGGUUCUCCCCGAAAGCUAUUUAGGUAGCGCCUCGUGAACUCAUCUUCGGGGUAGAGCACUGUUUCGGCUAGGGGUCAUCCCGACUUACCAACCCGAUGCAAACUACGAAUACCGAAGAAUGUUAUCACGGGAGACACACGGCGGGUGCUAACGUCCGUCGUGAAGAGGGAAACAACCCAGACCGCCAGCUAAGGUCCCAAAGUCAUGGUUAAGUGGGAAACGAUGUGGGAAGGCACAGACAGCCGUGAUGUUGGCUUAGAAGCAGCCAUCAUUUAAAGAAAGCGUAAUAGCUCACUGGUCGAGUCGGCCUGCGCGGAAGAUGUAACGGGCUAAACCAUGCACCGAAGCUGCGGCAGCGACACUAUGUGUUGUUGGGUAGGGGAGCGUUCUGUAAGCCUGCGAAGGUGUGCUGUGAGGCAUGCUGGAGGUAUCAGAAGUGCGAAUGCUGACAUAAGUAACGAUAAAGCGGGUGAAAAGCCCGCUCGCCGGAAGACCAAGGGUUCCUGUCCAACGUUAAUCGGGGCAGGGUGAGUCGACCCCUAAGGCGAGGCCGAAAGGCGUAGUCGAUGGGAAACAGGUUAAUAUUCCUGUACUUGGUGUUACUGCGAAGGGGGGACGGAGAAGGCUAUGUUAGCCGGGCGACGGUUGUCCCGGUUUAAGCAUGUAGGCUGGUUGUCCAGGCAAAUCCGGAUAAUCAAGGCUGAGGUGUGAUGACGAGGCACUACGGUGCUGAAGUAACAAAUGCCCUGCUUCCAGGAAAAGCCUCUAAGCAUCAGGUAACAUCAAAUCGUACCCCAAACCGACACAGGUGGUCAGGUAGAGAAUACCAAGGCGCUUGAGAGAACUCGGGUGAAGGAACUAGGCAAAAUGGUGCCGUAACUUCGGGAGAAGGCACGCUGGUGUGUAGGUGAAGCCCCUGCGGGUGGAGCUGAGACCAGUCGAAGAUACCAGCUGGCUGCAACUGUUUAUUAAAAACACAGCACUGUGCAAACACGAAAGUGGACGUAUACGGUGUGACGCCUGCCCGGUGCCGGAAGGUUAAUUGAUGGGGUUAUCCGUAAGGAGAAGCUCUUGAUCGAAGCCCCGGUAAACGGCGGCCGUAACUAUAACGGUCCUAAGGUAGCGAAAUUCCUUGUCGGGUAAGUUCCGACCUGCACGAAUGGCGUAAUGAUGGCCAGGCUGUCUCCACCCGAGACUCAGUGAAAUUGAACUCGCUGUGAAGAUGCAGUGUACCCGCGGCAAGACGGAAAGACCCCGUGAACCUUUACUAUAGCUUGACACUGAACAUUGAGCCUUGAUGUGUAGGAUAGGUGGGAGGCUUUGAAGCGUGGACGCCAGUCUGCGUGGAGCCAACCUUGAAAUACCACCCUUUAAUGUUUGAUGUUCUAACGUUGGCCCCUUACCGGGGUUGCGGACAGUGUCUGGUGGGUAGUUUGACUGGGGCGGUCUCCUCCCAAAGCGUAACGGAGGAGCACGAAGGUUAGCUAAUCCUGGUCGGACAUCAGGAGGUUAGUGCAAUGGCAUAAGCUAGCUUGACUGCGAGCGUGACGGCGCGAGCAGGUGCGAAAGCAGGUCAUAGUGAUCCGGUGGUUCUGAAUGGAAGGGCCAUCGCUCAACGGAUAAAAGGUACUCCGGGGAUAACAGGCUGAUACCGCCCAAGAGUUCAUAUCGACGGCGGUGUUUGGCACCUCGAUGUCGGCUCAUCACAUCCUGGGGCUGAAGUAGGUCCCAAGGGUAUGGCUGUUCGCCAUUUAAAGUGGUACGCGAGCUGGGUUUAGAACGUCGUGAGACAGUUCGGUCCCUAUCUGCCGUGGGCGCUGGAGAAUUGAGGGGGGCUGCUCCUAGUACGAGAGGACCGGAGUGGACGCAUCACUGGUGUUCGGGUUGUCAUGCCAAUGGCACUGCCCGGUAGCUAAAUGCGGAAGAGAUAAGUGCUGAAAGCAUCUAAGCACGAAACUUGCCCCGAGAUGAGUUCUCCCUGAGACUUUAAGUCUCCUGAAGGAACGUUGAAGACGACGACGUUGAUAGGCCGGGUGUGUAAGCGCAGCGAUGCGUUGAGCUAACCGGUACUAAUGAACCGUGAGGCUUAACCU